UCGCCGCGGACGGUGAUGUUCCAGUGCUGCAGACUCGACCUGAUGCGGUCCACAGAGCCGCGGCCGUCGCCAAGGUCACCGCGCGAACGUGCACUGUCGAGGUCGCGGCAGUCGCCCAGGUCGCCUCGCGCACGUGCGCCGUCGAGGUCGCGUCCGUCGCACAGGUUGCCGCGCGCACGGGGGUCGUCGAGGUCGCGGCCGUCGCCGUCGCACAUGUCGCCGCGCGCACGGGCGCUGUCGAGGUCGCGCCUGUCGCCCCGCUCACCGCGCGCACGGGCGCCGUCGAGGUCGCGCCUGUCGCCCCGCUCACCGCGCGCACGGGCGCCGUCGAGGUCGCGCCUGUCGCCCCGCUCACCGCGCGCACGGGCGCCGUCGAGGUCGCGCCUGUCGCCCCGCUCACCGCGCGCACGGGCGCCGUCGAGGUCGCGCCUGUCGCCCCGCUCACCGCGCGCACGGGCGCCGUCGAGGUCGCGCCUGUCGCC
rnacentral:lncRNA from 1 species